GAGUUUGAUCCUGGCUCAGAAUCAACGCUGGCGGCGCGCUUAACACAUGCAAGUCGAACGAGAAAGGGGAGCAAUCCCUGAGUAAAGUGGCGUACGGGUGAGUAACACGUGGGUAAUCUACCUUCUGGUGGGGAAUAACUCUGGGAAACCGGAGCUAAUACCGCAUAAUCCUGGGAAGGGAAAGGCGAAAGUCGCCGGAAGAGGAGCCCGCGGCCGAUUAGCUAGUUGGCAGGGUAAGAGCCUACCAAGGCGACGAUCGGUAGCCGGCCUGAGAGGGCACACGGCCACACUGGCACUGAAACACGGGCCAGACUCCUACGGGAGGCAGCAGUGGGGAAUCUUGCACAAUGGGGGAAACCCUGAUGCAGCGACGCCGCGUGAGUGAUGACGCCCUUCGGGGUGUAAAGCUCUUUCGACCCGGAAGAUUAUGACGGUACGGGGAGAAGAAGCUGCGGCUAACUACGUG
rnacentral:rRNA from 1 species